UCCCCUGUAGCUCAGUCGGUAGAGCAACAGACUGUUAAUCUGUGGGUCCCUGGUUCAAGCCCUGGCGGGGGAGCAA
rnacentral:tRNA from 1 species